CCCUGUGUGCCGCAGGUGACGGCUAGGAGGAGCAGCUGGCCUGGGGCGUUGGGAGCUCCUAGGCGCCUCUCCUUUUCCCUCGAGGGCGCACGCGGCGCCGCCCGGCAACUCUUGGUUUCCACCUCCGCUUCCAGGGCCCUGUGUUUUCCAGCUGGGUUCUGGAAAGUGCAAAGGGGCUUUCCUUCGGUCCUGGCAGGGAGUCGCCGCCUUGGGAUGCCCAUCUGCUUCUGGGAAGCCUAAGCCCCCUUUCAGCCGCUCUUUGUGAACCAGAAUAUAUUUCCUGUACCUUUGCACUGCGUUAACAAGGCACUCAGGAUGGUUACCCUCUGCAGCGCCCUGAGAGCCUGCGGGUGUGCGUGUGUGUGUCUAGAUGGGCUGCUGAAGCCGGAAGAUCCCUCCUCGGAAGCGGUCCACCGAGACCCAGUUCCGCCAGUGUGGUUUUAGGCCUCAAAAUGGUGACUUGAGAGCAAAGGAUACCUCGGGAUCCUCUGUUACACUCCAGAAGUCCAAACCGGUAGAAAUAUGCUAACUGCCCUCUGAGUAUUUAUUUAUCUCUAAUUUUGUUUCAAAUUUUUCUUGGGAAAGGUCAGAGAAAACCUAGAUAAAAAGAUUCUUGUUGUGAUGGCGUGUGUUUUCAUAAUAGGAUUGGUUUUACCUGUUACUAAUAUUCUCCACCUGCUUGUCCCAGCUGAGUGGCUGUUUCAGGUGAGGCCUUUAUGGGUGGACUUCCUUAGUCAUCACUACAGCCUGUGCUGACACUGUUGAAAACGUCUUUUGUGACAUCACCGACCCAGCCUGUGUUCCAUGUGAUACCUGCUAGCAAAAUAUUUUGCCUUCUCUGCAUCCUGCAAUCAAGCAACCUUAAAGGGAAAGUCCGUUUUAGUGUAGGUCGGUGUGGGUGUUAAUGGCCUCCAUCAGGGGAUGAGAAGUAGCCAGAAGCCGAGCAUGAGGAUGGAUUUUAAUACAACGCUGCUUCUCUUAUGUGGGAAGUCUUUGAUUUGCUUCUUUUUUGAAAAACUGUUUUAAUUUUUCCUGUAUCUCACUUGAUUAUGUUACAGGAUUGAGGCUUUGAGAAUAAGAGAACGGGCAGCCAGGACCUGUUCCAGGCAUGAUGGCUUUGUAGACAGAACCAAAGGUGAUGAGCAGUACCUGCGUGCUGUUUCAGCUGUGCCUGGGCAGAAGCUCUCCUCUCUCCCUGUGCCCUCAAGCGGGUUGGCAGCCCUCUCCUGUGCUCUGGCAUUUUCCCUAGAAUCCCUCUCCGUGCCAGAUGUGAAAAACUAACUCAGUCAUUGUUAGUGUGAUCAGGGAGUGGAUAGAAUUCAUACAAGUUAAGCUCAGACAAGGCACAGAAUCCUGGAGGAGGACAAAGGUACAACAGAGGUCUCCAUAAAUAGUUGCAUAAAAUGUUAAAGCCACAACAUUAUCACUAAGUUUUAAAAGAAAGUCACAUAUUACAUGUAUACUACUCUAUUAAGGUCAAGUUGACUUAGUUAUAAUUUUAAGUCACCCUUUUCUAGUGUACAGAACCCUAAACUUUGAAAAUGUCUGUAGUUGUGUAAUUGCCAGCAUAAACAAGACAUACAAUGUUGCUAUUACCCUAAAACCUUCCUGUACCUUUGCUGUCACCCCACCCCCAAGCCCUUAGCAACUACUGAUGUAUUUCUUCAACUCUAGUUUUACCUUUAAAAAUGUCAUUUAAAUGGAAUGUGCAGCAUGCACCUUUUAACUUUAGCAUCUCUGGGAUGGGCGUUAUGGUACAAGAGGUGCAGCCAUCACUUGGGACACCUGCAUCCUGUAGCAGGCUGUCUGGGAUUGAGUUCCACCUCUACUUCCAAUCCAGCUUCCUGCUUAGGUACCUGGGAGCCAGCAGAUGAUGUUCAAAGUUUUGGGUCCCUGCCACCUCUAUGGGAGACCCAGAUGGGGUUCCUGGCUUCAGUUUGGCCCAGUCCUGGUUGUUGUGGACAUUUGGGGAAUGAACCAGUGGAUAUAAGAUCUCUCUUUCUCUCUGUCCUUCUCUGUCCUCUGCCUCUCAAAUAAUUAAUAAAUUACUAAAACCUAAAAUAAAUUUAAUAUCUUUCACUUAGAAUAAAACUCUUGAGUUUCAACCUGGUAGUUGCAUGCAUCAAUAGUUUGUUCUUGUUUAUUGGUAAGCAGUACCCUGUUGCAUAGGUGUACCACACUUUGUUUAUUUGAUCACAAGUUACUGAAUGUUUUCCCUCCCUAAACUUCUCUUCAAGUAUCUGGAUAUUACUUAUGAAGAUUUGUGAAGUCUUUGUAUGGAUAUAUGCUUUCAUUUCUCCUGAGUAACUAACUACGUGUACUAGAACAGUUGGAUCUAUGUGAUAAGCUUACAUUUAACUAUUUAAGAAAUUGCUAAACUGAUCUUCUGUAUAUAAGGAGAAUUGAAAAUGAAUCUUGAUGUGAAUGGAAGGGGGGAGGGAGAGGGAAAGGGGAGGGUUGCGGGUGGGGGGGAAGUUAUGGGGGGGGGAGCCAUUGUAAUCCAUAAGCUGCACUUUGGAAAUUUAUAUUCAUUAAAUAAAAGUUAAAAAAAAAAAAAAGGAAUUGCUGGGGCUGGCACCUUGACUCACUGGUUAAUCCUCUGCCUGCAGCGCUGGCAUCCCAUAUGGGCGCUGGGUUCUAGUCCUGGUUGCUCCUCUUCCAGUCCAGCUCUCUGCUGUGGCCUGGGAGUGCAGUGGAGGAUGGCCCAAGUGCUUGGGCCCUGCACCCCACGGGAGACCAGGAGGAAGCACCUGGCUCCUGGCUUUGGAUCAGCAUAGUUCCGGCUGAGGCGGCCAUUUGGGGGGUGAACCAACGGAAAGAAGACCUUUCUCUCUGUCUCACUGUCUAAAUCUAGCUGUCAAGAAAGAAAGAAAGAAAGAAAGAAAGAAAGAAAGAAAGAAAGAAAGAAAGAAAGAAAGAAAGAAAGAAAGAAAUUGCCAUAUUGUUCUUCCAAUGUGGUGGUACCAUUUUAUUUUAUCACCAGCAGUGUGAGAGUUAUAGUUGUUUGCUAUCUGCAUUAACACAUGGAAUGGUCAGCCUUCAGUUCGAUCUAAGAGAUUUAUAGUAAUAUCUCAUUGCGGGUUUAAUUUGCAUUUCCUUACUUAACAAGUAAUGAGGUUGUUAGUAUGUUCUCAACAGUUACAACAUAUUUAACACUUUUCCAUAUACUUAUUUUUAAUCUUCUGUUUAUUUAAUGAUGUGUUUUUAAUUUUUUCAUUUUUAAUUGGGUUAUUUAUUUUUCUUUAUUAAAUUGUCAGUUAUUUAUAUAUUCUGGAUACCAGUACAGUAUCUGAUAUGUGUUUUAGAAAUAUUUCCUCCUAGUUUGUGGCUUUUCUUUUCAUUUUCUUAACAGUGUUGUUCAAAGAGAAGUUUCUAUAAUAAAUUCAAAAUUUCUUUUUAUCUUUUUUGAUAGCUUAUGUUUUUUGUGCCUAUAAAAAAUCUUUGCCUAACCUGUAUACUUACUUUUUGAUAAGGAAAAUAAUUCUUUAUAAAACCUGGAGGAAAGUUCUCUAAGGUUAUAAAAUUCUCCUAUAAUUUGUGGCUGUGCAAAUGUCUUCAAGGUAAGUCUUUCUUACGUAUAAAACACAUCUUUCUAACUGAAUCAUGAGUUCACAGUGCUCUUUUCCUAAUGAACUUUGCUCCAUGUUGAUAGGGCUGUCUUUACAUAAUUUUAUUAUUUUGCAUGUGAGUCUUCACUCGAGACAGGUAAUCAUGGAGUUAUUUUCCCUGAUCAAUAUCAUAAGCAUAUUUUCUAUUAUAAUAAGUUAUUUAGUGUUCCUUGAUAUAUAUAUAUAUUUUGUUAUUUAUCUCUACACUGGUCUAUAGUUCAGUGACUUGUUGAAAAGCAUAGCUACUUUUUUAUAUAUAUAUAUAUAUAUAAAAUCCAAGUCAACUCUAAAAUGGAGAGGCUAUGUGUAUUUCUUGAAAUGUUGAUUUCGUUAGGCAAAACAGUAGAGUUUCAGCGCUAGUAGUAAUUCUAAUUAUGUUGAUGAAUGUAUUCUUGCUUUUUUGUUUCAGGUUUUGAGUCUUUUCCUACAGCUUCAUUUUUGACAGAGGUGAUUUGACAAAGGCUUGGAAGAAUCAUUUGGAAUCCAUGAACUACUUGAGAUGAUUGACCCAUAUAUUGUUUCUAUCCAUGUGACCAAAGGUUUCUACAUCUUACCUCUGAUGAUUUAAGACAGCUGAUUAUAUCCUUCCUAAUUAUCCAAGAGUAAAAACACAGUGGACUCUUGUAUGCUCUUUUCAGUUAACACUUUGGAUCUUACAUGCUUCUUUGUGACAUAAUCUAACCUCCAACUAAAUUCAAACUUUGGACCUCCCUCCUCCCCCCAGAUCGCCUCCAAUAUACUUACUUAUUUAUUUACCUAUUUAUUUUUGAGAUUCAUUUUAAUUAUUUGAAAGGCAGAGUAAUGGGGGUGAGGGGACAGACAGAGAGAGGAGAUUUUCCAUCAGCUUGUGCAGUCUCCUAAGUGGCUGCAACAGUAGCCUGGAACUCCAUCCCGAUUUUCCACGUCACUCUCAGAGAUACAACCACUUAGGCCAUCUUCCUCUGCUUUCCAAGGUGCAUUAGCAGGGACCUGGAUUAGAAUCAGAAUAGUUGAGACUCAAACCAACUUCCUGAUAUGAGAUGCUGCCAUUGCAAAUGGUGGUUUAACCCUCUGUGCCACAAUGCCAGCCCCUCUCCUCCCAUUUCUGACAUUUUGGAUUUUCCAUUUAGAAAAUUGCUUCUUUGACACCUUACUUGAACUAUAUUUGAUGGAUAUUGGCGUGGUAUGCAUGCCUCUGCUUCUUUUUAUACAACCUUUUGAUAAGCUAUCAUCCUCUAGUUUAAGGUUUUAGGCAUCCGUUAGCACCGAACAUUUACUUAUCAGAUGGACUAGACCUAAUUCCCAAAGUGAGUGUUUGAACAAAGCUGAAGAUAGAUCAAUUCUUAUCUCUAAAAAGUCUUUCAUUUUUGUUAAUAUUUUCUAUCAGGUAAUUUGAGGAUAUCAAUGCUCAAGGAUAUAUUAUUGACUAUAACCUGUAUAUUUUUCAUGAAAAUGCUAAGUAGAUGGCUGCUUUUAUAAAAGCACAGGUUAUUUUACUUUGAACUCAAUCUCAAGAGCCAUAAAGGUGAGUCAUUUAAUUAGAUUAAAUGGUUUCACAAGAAUUUCCAAAUACUUUCAAGAAUAUUCUUCACUUUAAGAUGGUUAAUCAGAUACUCAGUAAUGGGUGCAUCUAACAUUUCACAAGUAGAGGUUGAAUUCUAUAUGCACGGAGUAAAGGUCAAUGGAUUACCAAGUUAACCCUUUGGAGUUCAAAAUAUUUAGAACUCUAUGCAGCUAGAAACUCACCAGGAGUUUCACACAUUCAUGUUUAUAAGCAGUUUCUACAGUAUCUAGUAUUUUCAUCAUAUAUAAAAGCCCAUAUUAAAAUGCUCCCUAAAUUGUCAAAUUGAUACUGACCAGAUAAGUUCCAGGCAUGUAUAUUGCUUUGAGGUCUGUUUGAGUAGGGUUCACUAUCUGAGACAGGCUAAAAUGGCACUGGAUGCCUGGAAGAAAGAAACCGUUCUAUCCACUGACUUGAACCUUGUGGUUUUAAUAGCCAGACGUUCUCCUUUUCCAUUGGAUGUUAUGGGCAAAGCUCUGGAGUUAAUACUUACCUAGUGGGGAAAGCGGUUGGGGAGAAAUGCAGAAUCUGAUCCUUGUUGUUCAGAACAGGGUCAUACUUCCACGGAAGGCUCCUGUGUGGUCAGUUCCAAAUGCUUCACAUGAUUUAUGUGCCAGUUUCACUUCCACACUUGAACUUUUCAGAGCCUGUAUUGCUGUAGUUCUUUACUUGAGGUGAGAAACGUGAACUGAAUUCUCUUUGAUCCUUGAGAACUUAAGUAAAGCUGACAUUAACUCAGUCCCAAAAAGUUCACAAAGAUUGAUGUGCUGCUGAAUUAUUUAAAAAGAUCGACAAUUCUUUGUUUUAUCCAUAGGCAUUGCUUGGCUAUUUAGCUAACUUUGUGCAGUUGUGAUGAGAAGAGAUUUUAUAUUAUCUCUAAAAUAAUCAGAUUGUCCCUCUUAUUUGAAAACCAGCUUGGAGGCUAGAUCAAAAUAUGUUCUCUGUGGGACCAGAAUCAACCUAAAAUAUAUUUCCACUCCUUUAUGCUGAUAUGUCUCUUUAAUAAUCUCUCCAAAUAAAUUUGUUUGAACUACACUUACUACUUGUCAAUGACAUUAGUUUUCUGGAAGGGAAAGUAGGAGUGAAAAGGAGAAUGAAAAAUAUUCAGAAAUCCUUAGGACAAACAACCUGCAUGACUUGAUUGGAUUUAAAGUCCCACUGCUGGGUUUUCUUGGCUGACCUUAUUUGCAUUGUUCCUAUCCUGGGUUAAGUUACAGUCAAACUGUAUUAUUUCCGCCUCUGAAAUGAAUGCUAAUGGAAAUCUGGGAUUCUCUGAUGCAAAUUCAGCUGUGUGUGCCCAGCUUCUCAGAGGUAAACUGUAGGUCUCUCUGAUUUACUAUUCCCAUGUCCAAGUCACAAUGCUCUCCUUCCUCAUGGCCAUGAGUCGGUGUAAAUUUUGAAACCUUGGUGGGAAAGAAAAUCAAUAUGCUUUCCUUCUGGGGAUAAUUUAGGUUAGGCUUUACUACUAGACUAAAAAAGGAUAGCUGUAAAAAAUGGGUGAGUGGAUGUUUACUUGGCAAAGAUGAAGGCUUGAGAAUCCUGAAGAGAGAGGCUGGGAGGAGUCUUCAGUGAGUCUGCAGCUGUGUUGAGCUUUGGCUUUGACAUAUGCUGCUAUUCCUAAGCUGCAAGGCCUAUUGGGAGCAGAGUUGCAUUGACUCGGAAGGUACUAUCCACCUGGUGUUGUGAUGUAGAGGGUUAAACUGCUGACUUGGAUGCUGGCAUCCCAUGUGGGAGACUCAGACUGAGUACCCAGCUCUUGGCCUUAGUCUGGCUCAGCCCCAGAUAUUGCAGACAUUUAGGAAGUGAACCAGUAGAUGGAAGAUCUCUGUCUCUAUCUGUUUCAGUAUUUCUGUUUUUCCAACAAAUAACAUAAAUAAAUAUAGAUUAACAGGACAUUGUGAGAAUAAUACAAAGAGGCUCAAUGUACCCUUCACCCAUUUUCCCUCAAUGAUAACAUCUUAUGUAAUUAUAGGACAAUAGAAAAGCCAGGAAAUUGACUGUGGUAACACCUGUGGAGCUUAUUUAGCAUUUACUGAUUUACAUGCAUACAUUUCUGUGUGUAUGUUUCUUUCACAUAUUCGUGGAUUUUGUCACCAUCACGGCAAUCAAUAUGCAAAAUUGCUACUGUUCCAGUUUAUAGUCACAUCUGUCACCACCCCUGCCUCUGGUUCCCUGCUCUCAUCUCUAACCCUUAGAAAAUACUAAUCUGUUUUCCACUUCUAUAAUUUUUUCAUUCUGAGAAUGUUAUAUUAAUGGAAUUAUAUAAUACGUGAUCUUUUCAAAUUGACCUUUUUUUCCACUCAUUAUAGUGCCCUUGGGAGUCAUCCAAGUUGUCUUGUAAUCGAUAAUCAGGAAAUUUCGACCUGUAAUGUGGGGGAUUUGAAAUCUGCCUUCUCAACCCACAGAUCCUUUAGUAGUAUGAAAUAAGAUUAUCUAUAUUAAAGCAUUACUUAAACUGUCAAGGAUUAUUUGAAUGGAAGGAUGUUUUUUAAUAAUAAUGUGUCCUUAUAAAGGAAUAAAUAACUACUUGUAUAUUCCAAAGCCUCAGGUUUACAACAUGAAGGGGCAAUUUGGUAUAAAAAAGUGGGUAAUCAAAUCCUGUCUAUUAAAAACUGUCAUUUUGAUAAUUUAUCUAACUUUGGUCACGCUUGGUUUUAAUUUUAAUCUAAAAAUAUUUUAUACCUAUUUUGAGGGGUGUUGUGGCAACAGCAGAUGACACAAACAUUGAGAAUACCCUAUACUAUAAUAUGUAAUAUGGAGAUAAUGUGAAUAAUAGAGAUUUCAGUCCAAAUGGACUAUGCAGACUGUGGGCCAUAAUAGAUGUUUAACAGUGGUAGUUCUCAUUGUUACAGCUGCUACUUUUUAAAAAGGACUUGUGGGUUGUUUCCUUUUGAAAAUACAGUGGUUACUCGGCUCUUUCAGGUUCAAUACCACACUUGAAGAUGUAAUUUCUUGCCAUGUGUAUUUUUUUUUUUUUUGACAGGCAGAGUGGACAGUGAGAGAGAGAGACAGAGAGAAAGGUCUUCCUUUUGCCAUUGGUUCACCCUCCAAUGGCCGCUGCGGGCUGGCGCGCUGUGGCCGGCGCACCGUGCUGAUCCGAUGGCAGGAGCCAGGUGUUUAUCCUGGUCUCCCAUGGGGUGCAGGGCCCAAGCACUUGGGCCAUCCUCCACUGCACUCCCAGGCCAUAGCAGAGAGCUGGCCUGGAAGGGGGGCAACCGGGACAGGAUCCGGCGCCCCGACCGGGACUAGAACCCGGUGUCCUGGCGCUGCAAGGCGGAGGAUCAGCCUAGUGAGCUGUGGCGCCGGCGACUUCCUAAGAUCUUAUUAGCAAGGAAUAACAGGGGAAAUGGGUUUACAAAAUCAGUCUUCUGAAGAUUAAGAUUUUAGUAUUUAAUGUAAAACUUAAAAAAAGUGGCAGGUGUGUGUUGUUGUAGGUUAAGCCUGAGAUGCUGGCAUCCUAUAUGGGCAUGGUUUUGAGUCCUGGCUGCUCCACUUCUGAUCCAGAUCCCUGCUGAUGUGCCUGGGAUGGCAGUGGAAGAUGGCCCAAGUGUAUGGGCCCCUGUUCACAUGUGGAUGAAGCCCCUGGAUCCUGGUUUUGGCCUGGGCCAGUCCUAGCUGUUCAGGCCAUUUGAAGAGUUAACCAGUGGAUGGAAGAUCUCUCACUCUCUCUGUAACUCUGCUUUUCAAAUAAAUAAAUAAAUUCUUAAAAAAAAAAAAAACUACAAAAAGUUAAAUUCCUAAGAAGCAAAAUUUAAAAAGUGACUCUUAAUGAACUUAACUUAGACUCAAUGUAGUUUUUUCAGUGAUUAAAAAUGCACAAAAAAGAUUUGAAUUUAAAAGUACUCUAUUCUUUAGAAAAUCAGACAUUGCUGUUAUAUAUAUAACAAUUUUAAUUGUACUAGAAUGUUUAGAUGUCUCACUCCUCAUGUAAUUUUUGUUGGCAAAUGAAAGUCUAAAAUAGUUGUUUAAAGAAACACAGUUGAAAUCUGAUUUAUCCUGCUCACCUAAAUAUGAGAAAGAUGUUUGAUUCUGCCUUUGAGAUGUUCCCAUGAUUUGGCGACUGUUGUGCUAAAUCUUAGUUCUCUGAGCCAAAGUGAUGAGUUAUUCCUUUGGAAGUUCCAUAUGGAAUUAUAAUAAAAGAGGUAGUUCCAGUAAAGAGUACUCCUGUUGAAGUGGGACUGAUGACGCAAGUAGGAUCAAGUGUAUAGAAGGAAAAGGCCAACAAAGAACAGAAUUUGAGAGAAAAUGAUAACGUUUCAUUGCAACUUGUUAAGUGCUUACUUUGUGCUAGGCAUUCUUCAUAAUUGUUAAUCGAUAAACUUCUGUUAAAGUCCAGACAGCAAAUAUGUCAGGUUGUGUGGGCUAUCUAGUCUGUUGUGAUUAUCACACAAAAACAGUCAAGUCAUAGAAAUCAUGUAAAUGAACCUGGGUUCAAAUAAUAGGCAGCUGGCUGGAUUCAGUUGAAGACUAUACCUUAAGAAUCCCUAUUUUAGGGAUACAGAGGUGAUUAAAACAGACUUGAUUCUUACAUGGAGCUUCCAUUCCAGGGGUAGUGAAGCAAACCAGAGAGAGGAAGGAAAGGAGAAAGGAGGAAGGAAGAACAAAAAAGAAAGAAAGAAAAUAGGACAUAAGUUUUCUGCAGGGAAUUGAAACAGAUUGUUAUGAAGGAUGAUUGCUUUGACGUGAUUCAGAAAGUAGCAUUUAGGUUGAGAUCUCAAUGACAGGAAAGCAUCCGUUUGGUGCUGAUCUAGGGGAAGAAUGUUCUGCUAAUGAAGAUUUUCCAAGUUGAGAUGACCUUGAUAUAUUCCAGGAAAAAAAUAUGUGUGUGUGUGUGUGUGUGUGUGUAUAGUGCUACAUUGGAGAGAGAGAGAAAGAGAAUUAUUUCUUAUACAAACUGUUCCAAAGAAUCUAUAUGCAGUGUGAUUUUCAGCUUGAACUUUUUAAAACAGUGCAUAACUAGAAACAUUUCCAGUGCCUACAUGGGAAGGGAUUUAUCCAGUAACAUAGAACUGAUACUUAUGAAGCCAUCUGUAAAUAUUUGUGGAACCAAGCGACCUAAAUUUCUAGCAAAAAGUAAAUGACUGAUUUGAUUAUAUCAAUUUGAUGCCCUUCUCUAGAGGUAUUAAAUCUAUCCUAUUAGUUUGGAAUGUUUUUAUUUGUAAUAGCAGAAAUUUUGUUUAUAAUUAUGUUUUCUUUUUUUUAAAAUUUUAUUUAAGGUUUAUAAAUUUCAUCUAUUUUAUAUAUACAGAUUUAGUAACAAAGUGAUAUUCCCACCCUACACUCCCUCCCACCCACGCUUUUUUUAAAAAAAGAUUUAUUUAUUGGCUGGCGCCAUGGCUCACUUGACUAAUCUUCCGCCUGCGGUGCCGGCACCCCGUGUUCUAGUCCCUGUUGGGGUGCUGGGUUCUGUCCCGAUUGCUCCUCUUCCAGUCCAGCUCUCUGCCGUGGCCCAGGAAGGCAGUGGAGGAUGGCCCAAGUGCUUGAGCCCUGCACCCACAUGGGAGACCAGGAGGAAGCACCUGGCUCCUGGCUUUGGAUCAGCACAGUGCCAGUCGUAGCAGCCAUUUAGGGGGUGAACCAAAGGAAGGAAGACCUUUCUCUCUCUGUCUCUCUCUCACUGACUA